rnacentral:rRNA from 1 species
GAUGAACGCUGGCGGCGUGCUUAACACAUGCAAGUCGAACGGAAAGGCCCUGCUUUUGUGGGGUGCUCGAGUGGCGCACGGGUGAGUGACACGUGAGUAACCUGCCCUUGUCUUUGUGAUAACUUCAGGAAAAUGGGGCUCAUACAGGAUAGGAGCUCCUGCUGCGUGGUGGGGGUUGGAAAGUUUCGGCGGUUGGGGCUGGACUAGCGGCUUAUCAGCUUGAUGGGGGAGUAGUGGCUUACCAAGGUGUGGAAGGGUAGCCGGCCUGAGAGGGUGACCGGCCACAUUGGGACUGAGAUACGGCCCAGAUUCGUACGGGAGGGAGCAGGGGGGAAGAUUGCACAAGGAGCGGAAGCCGGAUGCAGCAACGCCGCGUGCGGGAUAACGGCCUUCGGGUUGUAAACCGCUUGCGCCUGUAACGAAGCGUGAGUGACGGUAACGGGUAAAGAAGCACCGGCUAACUACGUG